UACGAAGGGGGCUAGCGUUGUUCGGAUUUACUGGGCGUAAAGCGCGCGUAGGCGGAUUCUUAAGUCAGGGGUGAAAUCCCGGGGCUCAACCUCGGAACUGCCCUUGAUACUGGGAAUCUCGAGUUCGGGAGAGGUGAGUGGAACUGCGAGUGUAGAGGUGAAAUUCGUAGAUAUUCGCAAGAACACCAGUGGCGAAGGCGGCUCACUGGCCCGAUACUGACGCUGAGGCGCGAAAGCUAGGGGAGCAAACAGG
rnacentral:rRNA from 1 species